UUUGCCCCGUCAGGAGAGAGCCAGCCCCGCGAGGCAGGCCGCCGAAGGCGCAGAGUGGCUGAUCACAGCCGUUUGAACGCUCAGGCAAAAAGGACUGACAAACGUCA
rnacentral:ncRNA from 2 species